rnacentral:rRNA from 1 species
UACGUAGGGUGCAAGCGUUAAUCGGAAUUACUGGGCGUAAAGCGUGCGCAGGCGGUGAUGUAAGACAGGCGUGAAAUCCCCGGGCUUAACCUGGGAACUGCAUUUGUGACUGCAUCGCUGGAGUGCGGCAGAGGGGGAUGGAAUUCCGCGUGUAGCAGUGAAAUGCGUAGAUAUGCGGAGGAACACCGAUGGCGAAGGCAAUCCCCUGGGCCUGCACUGACGCUCAUGCACGAAAGCGUGGGGAGCAAACAGG